rnacentral:lncRNA from 1 species
UUUUUUUUUUUUUUUUUUUUUGUAGAGAUGGGGUCUCACUACAUUGCCCAGGAUGAUCUCAAACUCCUAACCUCAAGCAACCCCUCUGCCUCAACCUCUCAAAGUGCUGGGGUUACAGGUGUGAGCCACCGUGCCCAGCCAAUAUGAGAACCUUAUUUAUUUAUGUAUUUUUGUGUUGACUGAUUGAUUGUAGACAUGGGGGUCUCACUACAUUGCCCAGGCUGGUCUUGAACUCCUAGACUAAGCAAUCUUCCUGCCUCCACCUCCCCAAGUGCUAGGAUGAUAGGUGUGAGCCACUGCACCCGGCUGAGAACUUUUUUAAAUCAAAAAAAGGUCCUUUAGUGGAAUAAACACUUGAUUUCUAAAACUCUUCUGAUUUCUGACAUUCUUAGAAUUUUAUAAUAACAAGAUUUGAGGUUCAGUGCAGUAUUCUGUGAACGCUGGUACAAGUCACAGUUGAGGCCAACAAGCAUUUUUACUGCAUUCAUUUGUGCUACCACAAGGCUGAGGACCAGUCUGGGUGGAUUCCGUGAAGAGGGGUGACAGCGCACCAACCAGGAACGCAGAACCCACGUCCUCCUCCAGCCUCUCCUCGACACCUCGAGACUCAAGGACACUGCAUCCCGAGGCUCAACAGCCCUGCCUGGGAAUUCCUGAAGAGGGGAGAGCCCUCUGUAGCCGGUACCCCGAGUCACCCGGUUUCCUUCGGCUCACAGUGGCCACGUUGUUCCAAGGACCAUGGCUUCUAGUAGCCUCUCGAAACUCCAGGGGCUUCUCAACGUUAUUCAUGGAUUUUCCUGUGGCAGGAGUGAGGGAGCACCUCAGUCAGAUCGCGAUGUCACUCACUCUAACACCAAAGCCAGCCACUCAGUGCGCCUGCGAACACCUCUCCUGCAUGCUCGCUGAGUAUGUGGACCAAGGCCAGCUCCCUCAUUUGACUUUCAGCGUAGCUUUCUGUAUGACUCCUGCAGGGAAAUGGCCUUCUCCCACUGAACUGCUCCUCACAGAGUAACACUUGUUCCCAGGCCGCGUUUGCCACACAGCCACAUACCACACAUCCUAGGAGGCACCUGGAGGUUACCCACGCUUUGAAAAAGACUCCAAAAGUGGAGAUGGGACUAUUCAGCCCUUUCUCUUUGGGAUGAUGUCAGUGACAAAGUUCACAGUUGCCGGACACUUCCCCUCUGACCCCAGGCUGUCUGUGCUCACUCUGCCCUCUGUUCUUCAUGCAGGCGGAGCCUACAGACAUGGGCUCUGCCCUGGGAGUGAAGCUUCAGGUGGGGAAGGAGCCAGAUCCAGGGGGAGGCCAUCUCCUACAGCAGCACCCUGCCAGGCUCAGAAGGAAGAGCCAGGCGCUCCCAAGUCCUGGCCUGGCCAAGGCACGCACGGUGCAGAUGCGGGUUCGAGGAGGAGCUGAUGGAAGUCCACAGGAGCUCACCUCCUCCCGAUGCCCUCCCUGCUGCCGCCUGCCCUGCAGUCCCCGGGAAGCCCCUGUGCCCCAUCUUCCUGGCUCACUCCCACAUGCUGCCCCACCCAGCUCAGGGCUGCAGUGAGGAUGGAAGGGGGUGCAGUACACCUGAGUGCACUCUCGUCCAUGAGGGCCUGGCUGGGUUAGAGGAGAGGAACCUGUCAGUCACCGGCACAGCACAGCACAGCUCAGCAAUGGCCAUCACCCAAAAAGACGCCUUGCAAGCACUCUUCUAAUCCCAAGGGAGAAACAGAACACUUUCAGACCCCAGAGAGCACUCACAACUAUCCUAAUUGGGCUUCCCAGCACCUAGCCAGGGAGCGACAUCGUGGUUACCUCCUGAGGAGUUCUUGUUGCCCCUCCUGCUGAGAAUGAAGUCCAGGACUGUACCUACUGUGUGACUGCACCUGGGGGAUAGGCCGGGACAAUGCUGGGCUCUUGUUCCAUUAAGCAGCAGUUUACAAAAUGAAGAGGCGCCACGGAAAGAAAAGCACCCAAAUCUCC